GUGAGCUUCGCCACACUCCUCCCUUCUUCCCCCACCUCGCCCUGGCGCACUCUCCCCUACGUGGAAGGGCUCAGGUAUGCAAAUAACAGAAAUGUGAAGCAAAAGAGCAAGAAAAGAGUAUAUGAUGAACUCCGAGGACAAACCAUGCCUUGUUUGUUUCCUACCCUGCGAUUUUGGCAGAGUGCCAUGUACUUCCUCGGUACUGAGUAAUCAUUUUUCAACUA